rnacentral:rRNA from 1 species
UGGGGAAUCUUGGACAAUGGGGGCAACCCUGAUCCAGCCAUGCCGCGUGAGUGAUGAAGGCCUUAGGGUCGUAAAGCUCUUUCGCCUGUGAAGAUAAUGACGGUAGCAGGUAAAGAAACCCCGGCUAACUCCGUGCCAGCAGCCGCGGUAAUACGGAGGGGGUUAGCGUUGUUCGGAAUUACUGGGCGUAAAGCGCACGUAGGCGGAUCGGAAAGUUGGGGGUGAAAUCCCGGGGCUCAACCCCGGAACUGCCUCCAAAACUAUCGGUCUAGAGUUCGAGAGAGGUGAGUGGAAUUCCGAGUGUAGAGGUGAAAUUCGUAGAUAUUCGGAGGAACACCAGUGGCGAAGGCGGCUCACUGGCUCGAUACUGACGCUGAGGUGCGAAAGUGUGGGGAGCAAACAGG